rnacentral:rRNA from 1 species
GAUGAACGCUGGCGGCGUGCCUAAUACAUGCAAGUCGAGCGAACAGACGAGGAGCUUGCUCCUCUGACGUUAGCGGCGGACGGGUGAGUAACACGUGGAUAACCUACCUAUAAGACUGGGAUAACUUCGGGAAACCGGAGCUAAUACCGGAUAAUAUAUUGAACCGCAUGGUUCAAUAGUGAAAGACGGUUUUGCUGUCACUUAUAGAUGGAUCCGCGCCGCAUUAGCUAGUUGGUAAGGUAACGGCUUACCAAGGCAACGAUGCGUAGCCGACCUGAGAGAUGGAUCGCCCACACUGGAACUGGAACACGGUCCGGACUCCAACGGGAGGCAGCAGUAGGGAAUCUUCCGCAAUGGGCGAAAGCCUGACGGAGCAACGCCGCGUGGGUGAUGAAGGUCUUCGGUUCGUAAAACUCUUUUAUUAGGGAAGAACAAAUGUGUAAGUAACGAUGCACGUCUUGACGGUACCGAAACAGAAAGCCACGGCUAACUACGUG